rnacentral:lncRNA from 1 species
AGAAAAUAAGAAUAAAUAGUAACAAAAACAAAAUAGUUUACAUGGUUUGGCCUUUUGGCCUACAUCUACGGGAGUAAUCGUCUCCAAUCCACUAUGUAUAUGAAGUAUUACAUUAUUUGUUUUACAACAUGAAAAAAACCUUAUUCAAGGUUUUUUAUGAUGAAUAAUAACAUGAGAGAGAUGCAUGUCUUAUGGAGAUUAGAGAGUUUGAAUAAGGGAAAAUCUUCUUUUAGAGAUGAGAUGGGGAAAAUCUUCUUUUAGAGAUGAGAUGGCUAAAAUCUUCUUUUAGAGAUGAGAUGGCUAAAAUCUUUAGAAAAAUGGAGGAAGACACAUUAGAUAAGGAGGAAGAAGAAGAUGAAACAACCUCUUAAAAAGUUAGAUCUGUAAAAAAAAAUCCAUUUAUCUUGUGUCUUGAGCUGAAAUUACAAGAUAGGUGCCAUUAGGAGCAUUUUUGUCUUUUCUACACAUGGAGAUUUUCU